rnacentral:rRNA from 1 species
GACUAGAAAUAGCUCAAACAUACUCCAAAAAUACUACUCCAAAAACACCCAACAAAUCAUUUAUAAGACAAUAGUAUAGGUGAUAGAAAUUUUAAUUGACGCUAUAGAGAUAGUACCGCAAGGGAAAACUGAAAGAAGUACAUAAGUAAAAAACAGCAAAGCUUAGUCCUUGUACCUUUUGCAUAAUGACUCAACUAGAAAUUAUUUGCAAAAAGAAUUUAAGUUAAUUAACCCGAAACCAGACGAGCUACUCCCUAGCAGUUCAACAGAACAAACUCAUCUAUGUGGCAAAAUAGUGAGAAGACCAGAGAGUAGUGGCGAAAAACCUAUCGAGCCUGGUGAUAGCUGGUUGUCCAGGACAGAAUUUUAGUUCUAAUUUAAAUUUACCAUAAAAUAAACAAAUUAAACUGUAAGUUUAAAUGGUAGCCUAAAAGGGUACAGCCUUUUAGACAUAGGAUACAACCUUUAUUAGAGAGGAAAUAAUUAAAUAAACUACCCUAGUUGGCCUAAAAGCAGCCAUCAAGCAAGACAGCGUUCAAGCUCGAUAGAAUAUAAGAAUUAAUCCCAAUUAUUUCAAAGCACUCCUAAUAUACAACUGGACUAUUCUAUUUAUUAAAUAGAAGAAACAAUGUUGACACGAGUAACAAGAAAUACUUCUCCCUGCAUACGUGUAUAUCAGAACGAAUUAAUCACUGAUAAUUACCAAAAGAACAUAAUCAAAUAAUUAAAGCUCCAAUGUAAAUUGUUAGCCCAACACAGGAAUGCAAGCAAGGAAAGAUUAAAAGAAGUAAAAGGAACUCGGCAAACAUAAAUCCCGCCUGUUUACCAAAAACAUCACCUCUAGCAUUAAAAGUAUUAGAGGCAAUGCCUGCCCAGUGACAUUAGUUCAACGGCCGCGGUAUCCUGACCGUGCAAAGGUAGCAUAAUCACUUGUUCUCUAAAUAAGGACUAGUAUGAAUGGCUUCACGAGGAUUUUACUGUCUCUUACUUCCAAUCAGUGAAACUGACUUUCCCGUGAAGAGGCGGGAAUAGUUAAAUAAGACGAGAAGACCCUAUGGAGCUUUAAUUAACUAGCUCAUAAAUAAUAAUAAUAAUCCAUAAGGAACUAAAUCAGUAUUAACUGAGCUAGUAAUUUGGGUUGGGGCGACCUCGGAAUAAAGAGCAACUUCCAAGGAAUUUCAAUUGAGACCUACAAGUCAAAAUUAUUCUAUAAUUACAUUGACCCGUCAAAGACGAUCAACGAAACAAGUUACCCUAGGGAUAACAGCGCAAUUCUAUCUAAGAGUCCGUAUCGACGAUAGAGUUUACGACCUCGAUGUUGGAUCAGGACAUCCCAAUGGUGUAGCAGCUAUUAAUGUGUUCGUUUGUUCAACGAUUAAAGUCCUACGUGAUCUGAGUUCAGACCGGAGUAAUCCAGGUCGGUUUCUAUCUAUUUCAAGAUCUUUCCCAGUACGAAAGGACAAGAAAGAUGAGGUCAACUUAAAACUAAGCACCCCACAAAAUAGAUGAACUAAUCUUAAACUAAUAAUAUUACUAUAUCGCCCAAGAGAAGGGCCCA